rnacentral:hammerhead_ribozyme from 1 species
AUCCAGCUGACGAGUCCCAGAUAGGACGGAAUGCGCAUUUUGGAU